rnacentral:rRNA from 1 species
UACGUAGGUGGCAAGCGUUGUCCGGAUUUACUGGGCGUAAAGGAUGCGUAGGCGGACAUUUAAGUCGGAUGUGAAAUCCCCGGGCUCAACCUGGGAAUUGCAUUCGAUACUGGGUAGCUAGAGUUCGGCAGAGGGAAGCGGAAUUUCGGGUGUAGCGGUGAAAUGCGUAGAUAUCCGAAGGAACAUCAGUGGCGAAAGCGGCUUCCUGGACCAGAACUGACGAUCAGGCACGAAAGCGUGGGGAGCAAACAGGG